AGUGUUGACCUAGCAGCAGACCAGCGAACUCCACAACAGCUCCUCUUCAUUCGUCCGCUUCUCUGCCGCUUCACACGCCCGCAGCAGUCCACGUUCCCAGCGAAUCCAGCUGCGUGAAGCCCAGCAAAGCCUGCAGUAGUCCACGAAUACUGCAGCUUCGGUCUUCUUUUGCUCGUGGGCCAACCACAGCGAGCCCAUUCCGAUUUUCAGUGGCCCAACUUCAGCUCUUUGGAAGCCUGUGAAUAAGCAGCCCUCAAGCCCAGUUCAGUUCAUCAACAGCCCAGGCCAGCAAUUCGUUUCAGCCCUCUUGAAGCCCAAUCCAAUGAAGCCCAGCAAGUUUUAGUUUCAGCUUUGGGCCCAGCCUAUUUUCAGCCCAGUUGAAGUCUUCAAGCCCAGCCCAAUCCAAGUUCGGUCCAAGGAUUCCAGCAGGCCUAAGCCCAGAAAUUUAUGCAGGCUUGUGAGGCUUUUGAGCCCGGCCCGAGUGUCCGCCGACGCCGCCGAAAGUUUGGAAUUCGGCCGCCGUCGCGUCGCCGUUGCGGUGAUUCGAUCCCCGCUUUUCCAAGUGAGUUUUACUCACUAAUGCUUUAUUAGUUUGCUAAUUAUGCCUUAGGGUUGGUUAGAUUUAAUUAUAUGCACUUAGGUGGUUAGAUUAGGUUAGAACAAUUAAUUUAGUGACUUAAUGAUGCAUGUUAGGUGGUUAGACCUAGCUAUUAGCAAGUAGAAAUGUUUGGUUAUUUAUUGAAUGCAUCUCGGGAUUUUUCCCGACCCGUUUCGGGCUCCAAUAAGGCAAUAUAGGCCUAAAUUGGAUUUUUAAUGUUUAUUUAUUUAUUUUCGAAAUUUAUUUAUUUAAUUAAUUAUUUUUCCGGAAAUUCAACCGGGAUGGCCGGUGACCGGAAUUUCGUGCCGAUUGUCGUGGUGCAGUCCGUUUAUUUAAUUGAACUCUACGUUGUGUGGAAUUGAAUUUAUUGUGGAAUUUUAGGAAUUGUCCUAAAUUGUUUGUUAUUGAGUAUUUGAUUGGUAAUGGCUAAGCAUGGAUAUAUAGCGCCAGUACGUUGAUGGGCUAUAUGGUAGGGAGAAUGGUGAGACCAAUCAGGUACGAUAUUAUUGGACAUACGUGGUUCGGUGAUUGGAAGUAUCACUGGCGAAAACGGCGCCUUAAAGAACGCACGUAAAUGACUUAUAGACAAACGUGGUUCGGUGGUUAUGGGAAUAUCACUGGUGAAAACGGCGCCUUAAAGAACGCACGAUGUUGUCUAUAGCCGAUGUCACCUUGGCGAAAACGGCGCCCUUGAAAGGACACGUGGUUCGGUGAUCAAGGUUAUCACUGGUGAAAACGGCGCCUUAAAGAACGCACGGUGUCGGUGAUCGGUAUGUCAUUGGCGAAAACGACGCCCGAGAAACACAUGUGAUUUGGUGAAUGAGUACACCACUGGGAAAUCGUGGUAUGAAUGGGAAUGACCUAGAAAGGGUCUGGCUGACAUGUAAUCGACUUAGUCGAUUGAUCAAUGCUUGAUCGGAUGUCGUGAAUUGUUUGAAUAUUUGUGUUUAACCUUGAAUUGCAGGUUGGAACUGAGGCUAAGGUAAGUCCUCUGACUCGUGUUGUGCUUAGGCAACCGUAUGGCGUAUUAGUUUAUUAAUCGGGUCUUAGUGGGUAGGACUCGCUGAGACGUGGUCUCAUUGGUUAUUGAAUAACCAUUUCAGGACCCUGAGGAGAAGCUAAGGAAGAGGAACCUGAAGGGGAGAAAGUAUUUUGAAGUAGAAGAUGAUCCAGAGAGGGAUCUUGAAUAUAACCCAGAUGUGGAUUGGGAUCCCAUCCCUUUUGUGAACCCUGUCUUGGUAUAGAUAGGUGUGAGACUUUUAUGCUGUAAAUAGUAUUGUAAAUAUACUAUGAGUGGUGAUGUUAAUGAAAGUGUGGUUAUGAAUUUCAAUAUGAAAAAUAUGGCCUGCUUUC
rnacentral:lncRNA from 1 species